rfam:Gossypium arboreum cultivar AKA8401 contig_80808_1, whole genome shotgun sequence.
AAUCCAUUGUGCGGGCAUUUUUGAAUCAACAUUUUGAAGUGUUCCUACACCUCAUAGAAACUUUAUCCUUCCAUCUGUCUAAAUCUAGCCAUCUCUCUUCUUAAUU